CUGGGUUAGUCGGGUCCUAAGCUGAGGCCGACAGGCGUAGGCGAUGGAUAACAGGUUGAUAUUCCUGUACCACCUAUAAUCGUUUUAAUCGAUGGGGGGGACGCAGUAGGAUAGGCGAAGCGUGCGAUUGGAUUGCACGUCUAAGCAGUAAGGCUGAGUAUUAGGCAAAUCCGGUACUCAUUAAGGCUGAGCUGUGAUGGGGAGAAGACAUUGUGUCUUCGAGUCGUUGAUUUCACACUGCCGAGAAAAGCCUCUAGAUAGAAAAUAGGUGCCCGUACC
rnacentral:rRNA from 3 species